UCCAGACUCCUACGGGAGGCAGCAGUGGGGAAUAUUGGACAAUGGGGGGAACCCUGAUCCAGCGACGCCGCGUGAGUGAAGAAGUAUUUCGGUAUGUAAAGCUCUCUCAGCAGGGAAGAAAGAAAUGACGGUACCUGACUAAGAAGCCCCGGCUAACUACGUGCCAGCAGCCGCGGUAAUACGUAGGGGGCAAGCGUUAUCCGGAUUUACUGGGUGUAAAGGGAGCGUAGACGGUCCUGCAAGCCAGAUGUGAAAGCCCGGGGCUCAACCCCGGGACUGCAUUUGGAACUGUAAGGCUAGAGUGUCGGAGAGGCAGGCGGAAUUCCUAGUGUAGCGGUGAAAUGCGUAGAUAUUAGGAGGAACACCAGUGGCGAAGGCGGCCUGCUGGACGAUGACUGACGUUGAGGCUCGAAAGCGUGGGGAGCAAACAGGAUUAGAUACCCCAGUA
rnacentral:rRNA from 1 species